GAUGAAGAACGUAGCGAAAUGCGAUACGUAAUGUGAAUUGCAGAUUUCAGUGAAUCAUCGAAUCUUUGAACGCACCUUGCGCCCUUUGGCUAUUCCGAAGGGCAUGCCUGUUUGAGUAUCAUGAACAUCUCAACUCCUCACGGUUCGCCCGUGACGAGCUUGGACUUUGGGGGUCUUGCCGGCCUGCGGGUCGGCUCCUCUCAAAUGAAUCAGCUUGCCGGUGUUUGGUGGCGUCACAGGUGUGAUAAAUAUCUACGCUUGUGGUUUUCCGCCAGGUAACCUCCAGCGAUGGGGGUUCACUGGAGCUCACGAAUGUCUCUCCUCGGUGAGGACAGCUCUUUGAACGUUUGAUCUCAAAUCAGGUAGGGCUACCCGCUGAACUUAAGCAUAUCAAUAAGCGGAGGA
rnacentral:misc_RNA from 1 species